GCCACGGUGGUCUAGCGGUUAGAACGCUGGCCUUGUAAUCCUGGGGUCUCGGGUUCGAUUUCCGACGGUGCCC
rfam:Zootermopsis nevadensis contig3114, whole genome shotgun sequence.